AGGUCCGAGGUAACUUACCGAAAUUUGAAAAGAUCUGGGGCCUGUGGGUAGAUAGCGGAGUUGGCGAUUAGGAGAUGGGGGGGUUGGGCUUGUCCCCCCAGCACCCCUGUUUCUGUAGCUGACCUAUAUUAACUUUGGACUCACCCAGCCUGCACUCCUGCAGAGGAUUGAUCGGGAUCCCACAGGCAGACUCACACGAUCUGGCCAGACUCACA